rnacentral:ncRNA from 2 species
ACCUCAUCCAGAGGGGCAGAGGGACACGGCCCGAUGAAGCCCCGGCAACCACUGUUGAUGAUCGUCAUCUCCUGACCGCGCGUCCGGGGCCGAUCGACAGCAGGUGCCACUUCCGUCCCGCUUCGGCGGGGAAGAUGAGCA